UACGAAGGGGGCUAGCGUUGCUCGGAUUGACUGGGCGUAAAGGGCGCGUAGGCGGUUCGUACAGUCAGACGUGAAAUUCCUGGGCUCAACCUGGGGGCUGCGUUUGAUACGUGCGGACUUGAGUGCGGAAGAGGAUGGUGGAAUUCCCAGUGUAGAGGUGAAAUUCGUAGAUAUUGGGAAGAACACCGGUGGCGAAGGCGGCCAUCUGGACCGCAACUGACGCUGAGGCGCGAAAGCGUGGGGAGCAAACAGG
rnacentral:rRNA from 1 species